GCAAGUCGAACGGUAGAAAGGUGCUUGCACCUUUUGAGAGUGGCGAACGGGUGAGUAACACGUAGAUGAUCUGCCUUUGGAUUGGGGAUAGCUCAUGGAAACAUGGGGUAAUACCGAAUAAGUUCUUUUGACCUUAGUCGAAAGAGGAAAGACGCGAUUGCGUCGUCCGAAGAUGAGUCUGCGGCUUAUUAGCUAGUUGGUAGGGUAAUGGCCUACCAAGGCGACGAUAAGUAGCCGGCCUGAGAGGGUGACC
rnacentral:rRNA from 1 species